rnacentral:rRNA from 1 species
GACGAACGCUGGUUGCGUGCUUAACACAUGCAAGUCGAACGGAAAGGCCCUGCUUUUGUGGGGUGCUCGAGUGGCGAACGGGUGAGCAACACGUGAGUAACCUGCCCUUGACUUUGGGAUAACUUCAGGAAACUGGGGCUAAUACCGGAUAGGAGCUCCUGCUGCAUGGUGGGGGUUGGAAAGUUUCGGCGGUUGGGGAUGGACUCGCGGCUUAUCAGCUUGUUGGUGGGGUAGUGGCUUACCAAGGCUUUGACGGGUAGCCGGCCUGAGAGGGUGACCGGCCACAUUGGGACUGAGAUACGGCCCAGACUCCUACGGGAGGCAGCAGUGGGGAAUAUUGCACAAUGGGCGGAAGCCUGAUGCAGCAACGCCGCGUGCGGGAUGACGGCCUUCGGGUUGUAAACCGCUUUCGCCUGUGACGAAGCGUGAGUGACGGUAAUGGGUAAAGAAGCACCGGCUAACUACGUGCCAGCAGCCGCGGUGAUACGUAGGGUGCGAGCGUUGUCCGGAUUUAUUGGGCGUAAAGGGCUCGUAGGUGGUUGAUCGCGUCGGAAGUGUAAUUCUUGGGGCUUAACCCUGAGCGUGCUUUCGAUACGGGUUGACUUGAGGAAAGUAAGGGGAGAAUGGAAUUCCUGGUGGAGCGGUGGAAUGCGCAGAUAUCAGGAGGAACACCAGUGGCGAAGGCGGUUCUCUGGGCCUUUCCUGACGCUGAGGAGCGAAAGCGUGGGGAGCGAACAGGCUUAGAUACCCUGGUAGUCCACGCUGUAAACGGUGGGUACUAGGUGUGGGGUCCAUUCCACGGGUUCCGUGCCGUAGCUAACGCUUUAAGUACCCCGCCUGGGGAGUACGGCCGCAAGGCUAAAACUCAAAGGAAUUGACGGGGCCCCGCACAAGCGGCGGAGCAUGCGGAUUAAUUCGAUGCAACGCGUAGAACCUUACCUGGGUUUGACAUGGAUCGGGAGUGCCCAGAGAUGGGUGUGCCUCUUUUGGGGUCGGUUCACAGGUGGUGCAUGGCUGUCGUCAGCUCGUGUCGUGAGAUGUUGGGUUAAGUCCCGCAACGAGCGCAACCCUUGUUCACUGUUGCCAGCACGUUAUGGUGGGGACUCAGUGGAGACCGCCGGGGUCAACUCGGAGGAAGGUGGGGAUGACGUCAAGUCAUCAUGCCCCUUAUGUCCAGGGCUUCACGCAUGCUACAAUGGCUGGUACAGAGAGUGGCGAGCCUGUGAGGGUGAGCGAAUCUCGGAAAGCCGGUCUCAGUUCGGAUUGGGGUCUGCAACUCGACCUCAUGAAGUCGGAGUCGCUAGUAAUCGCAGAUCAGCAACGCUGCGGUGAAUACGUUCCCGGGGCU